AGAGUUUGAUCCUGGCUCAGGAUGAACGCUGGCGGCGUGCUUAACACAUGCAAGUCGAGCGAAGCACUAAAACGAAUUUCUUCGGAAUGAAGUUUUAGUGACUGAGCGGCGGACGGGUGAGUAACGCGUGGGUGACCUGCCUCAUACAGGGGGAUAACAGACAGAAAUGUCUGCUAAUACCGCAUAAGCGCACAGUGCUGCAUGGCACAGUGUGAAAAACUCCGGUGGUAUGAGAUGGACCCGCGUCUGAUUAGCUAGUUGGUAAGGUAACGGCUUACCAAGGCGACGAUCAGUAGCCGGCCUGAGAGGGUGAACGGCCACAUUGGGACUGAGACACGGCCCAAACUCCUACGGGAGGCAGCAGUGGGGAAUAUUGCACAAUGGGGGAAACCCUGAUGCAGCGACGCCGCGUGAAGGAAGAAGUAUUUCGGUAUGUAAACUUCUAUCAGCAGGGAAGAAAAUGACGGUACCUGACUAAGAAGCCCCGGCUAACUACGUGCCAGCAGCCGCGGUAAUACGUAGGGGGCAAGCGUUAUCCGGAUUUACUGGGUGUAAAGGGAGCGUAGACGGCAUGGCAAGUCUGGUGUGAAAGGCAGGGGCUCAACCCCUGGACUGCAUUGGAAACUGUCAGGCUGGAGUGCAGGAGAGGUAAGUGGAAUUCCUAGUGUAGCGGUGAAAUGCGUAGAUAUUAGGAGGAACACCAGUGGCGAAGGCGACUUACUGGACUGUAACUGACGUUGAGGCUCGAAAGCGUGGGGAGCAAACAGGAUUAGAUACCCUGGUAGUCCACGCC
rnacentral:rRNA from 1 species